AAUUAUUUUAUUAUAUACUUUGAAAGUAUACAAAAAGAGUUUAUCUAAUAAUUA
rnacentral:tRNA from 1 species